rnacentral:rRNA from 1 species
AGGAUCAUUAUUGAAAUAAACCUGAUGGGUUGUUGCUGGUUCUCUAGGGAGCAUGUGCACGCCUUGUCAUCUUUAUAUCUCCACCUGUGCACCUUUUGUAGAUCUUAUAGGUCUAUGUUGCCCUUUCAUUUACACCAAUGUAUGUUAACAGAAUGUUGUGACUAUAAAAUAUAUACAACUUUCAGCAACGGAUCUCUUGGCUCUCGCAUCGAUGAAGAACGCAGCGAAAUGCGAUAAGUAAUGUGAAUUGCAGAAUUCAGUGAAUCAUCGAAUCUUUGAACGCACCUUGCGCUCCUUGGUAUUCCGAGGAGCAUGCCUGUUUGAGUGUCAUUAAUAUUAUAUAUCAACCCUCUUUUGUUGAGUGGUUUGGAUGUGAGGGUUUUGCUGGAUUAUUUAAAAAGUUCAGCUCCCUUGAAAUGCAUUAGCAGAACAAAAAACCCUCUUCAUUGGUGUGAUAACUAUCUACACUGUUGAAUGCAAAGGGCCAGUUCAGCUUUCUAACGGUCCUUGGACAAUUUAUCAUUUAUGUGACCUCAAAUCAGGUAGGACUACCCGCUGAACUUAAGCAUAUCAAUAAGCGGAGGAAAAGAAACUAACAAGGAUUCCCCUAGUAACUGCGAGUGAAGCGGGAAAAGCUCAAAUUUAAAAUCUGGCAGUCUUUUGGCUGUCCGAGUUGUAAUCUAGAGAAGUGUUAUCCGCGCUGGACCGUGUACAAGUCUCCUGGAAUGGAGCAUCAUAGAGGGUGAGAAUCCCGUCUUUGACAUGGACUGCCAGGGCUUUGUGAUGCGCUCUCAAAGAGU